ACUUUCACGGCAUGGCUGUUCUCGGGGUCUCACAGUAAUAACAUUACUGUUUCUAGCCACCAGGUUUUUUGGGGGUUUUUUGCAUUUUUCUUUGUUUUGAUGGUUUUUAAUCUCUUGUCCACCCAAAACCCUCUUACAGAAUCAAAGCCAAGAGUCAUGGAAGUUAAAGAGAACGCAUCCUCCUAAAGGCAGCGGGCAUGAAAUCUGACUCCAAAGCACCGCAAUUUGCCACAAAGGUCACCGAGCAAUAACAGAUCUCAAAGAACACAACUGAAAGCUCAUUAACAUGACAGAAAUAUUACUGAUACAACCACCUUCCAUCAUCCAUAGGAAUAAUUACAUGGUAUUCUCCAUCACUCCCCAGCAAGGUUCUCAGAUUCUCCCACAUGGUGAAACACUGAGAAGUGGAUUAACUAGGAAAACACUAUCAAAAAGCAUUUGUCUUGCAGUUAUCACAUGCACUUUUGCUGGACAUUUGAGACUGGGGCGUUUAUAUACCAAAUAAGCCCCAAAGGCUGCAAAAUUGUGGGAAAAGAGCUCCUGCCUUAAUGGGAAAGCUCAUAUGAAUAAAAGAUAGGCCUCUGGGGUCUGUUCCACCUCUUAUUGAUGUAUUGCUUAAAGACACAGUCAGAUGUUCUGAAAAUAUGUGAAAACCCUUUAUGAGUAGAACUGUUUCAAUGAAAACGUCUUGGUUUGGUCAUUCAAAGAGGUGCCACACAUACUGGAUCAAUAAUUUCAAUGAGCUAUCCAUCAUGACUCCAAGAUCUCUGUCCUGGCCGGUCUCUUUCAGUUCAGACACCAUUAGCAUAUCUGUGAAGUUAGGAAGGGGUAGAAAUUGUCCCAAACUGCAUUUGCCAUUUAAUGCCCAUCCACCCAGUUUGGAGAUAUUUCUUUGAAGGCUCCUCCACUCCUAUUAGCUUUUUCCCACUAUACAUUUCAGAAUAUAGCUGUUAUUUGUUAUAUUAGUAUAUUUUUAUUUGUUUUGAUUAGUCUUUUUAAAAGCUGUUAAUGAUGCUGUCUUUGUAAGUUUUGAUUAUUGAUGCUAGUAUUUAUUAAAUUUAUAUCCUGUCUUUCCUCCCAGAAGGAGCACAGGGCAACACCACAGCAUUGGAUACAACCCAAUGAAUACAAAGUUUUACUCAGAGUAGACCCAUUGAAAUUAAUACACCUAUGUUCAUCAUGCCCAUUAAUUUCAAUGAGUCUACUCUGUGUAUACUAGCUAAACCCAUUAUUUUUUUAUGAUAUUGUGAGCUGUCUUGGAUGGGCAUUUAUUGCAUAAAUAAAAUGAACUACUCAGUGCUGCCCUUUCACAUUUUAGCAGUUGGGCAGAGCACUUUAUGAAGCAUGUAGCCAAUUUUAGAACAGGUUCAAGGUGGGCAACAAAGAACUGGAGCACAUCUUAUCUAUGCAGAAAGUUCUAGGUUCAACCGCAGGCAUCUCUUGCUAGAAGGACAAAAAAUCAGGUAAUGGUAAAGAUCUCUGCUUGAAAGCCUGUGGAACCACUGCCAGUCAAAGGAAACAUAUUUCUUUCACUCAUUCAAUUCAAAAAUAUUUAUUGUACUAGCCAAAGGCCAUGACAAACACAUUAAAAUGUGAAAACAUAAAAUAUAAAAGCAUACAGAAGUAUGUAAAAGUAUACAAAGAACAAGUUGUU